GUUUUGACACAUGCUUUGUUCUCCAACAUUGUUUGAAGGUUUGUGGUGGGAGUUUGUGGGCUAGUAACUCUCAGGUGAUGACAUGAAGGAAGAAGCUGAUACUCUGAAUGAAGGAUGUGAGUGGGGUCUGAGAUGAUUCUCUGGGCCUAUCUGAUGUUUCCAUGAUGGCCUGAAGUGAGAGAUGCUGCUGGACUCUCAUUAACUCUGUAGCUCUGUGUAAGCCAGCAUGGAGACAGAGCAACAUCACCUUCUGACUGACACUGAAGGCUAUCAGCCUACAGUGGAAAUGCAGUUGCUGCUGGAUGCUGGUGCAGACAUAGUCAACCUGAGCAGUCCAUGUA